rnacentral:rRNA from 1 species
GAUGAACGCUGGCGGCGUGCCUAAUACAUGCAAGUCGAGCGAACGGACGAGAAGCUUGCUUUUCUGAUGUUAGCGGCGGACGGGUGAGUAACACGUGGAUAACCUACCUAUAAGACUGGGAUAACUUCGGGAAACCGGAGCUAAUACCGGAUAAUAUUUUGAACCGCAUGGUUCAAAAGUGAAAGACGGUCUUGCUGUCACUUAUAGAUGGAUCCGCGCUGCAUUAGCUAGUUGGUAAGGUAACGGCUUACCAAGGCAACGAUGCAUAGCCGACCUGAGAGGGUGAUCGGCCACACUGGAACUGAGACACGGUCCAGACUCCUACGGGAGGCAGCAGUAGGGAAUCUUCCGCAAUGGGCGAAAGCCUGACGGAGCAACGCCGCGUGAGUGAUGAAGGUCUUCGGAUCGUAAAACUCUGUUAUUAGGGAAGAACAUAUGUGUAAGUAACUGUGAACACCUUGACGGUACCUAAUCAGAAAGCCACGGCUAACUACGUG